UCCCCCCUGGGUAGGGGGCCCUCCGUUUAUUUCGUAGUACAGCUGUAGAGCGUCGUUGCAGUUCCCGUUGCACAUCUGGGGGGGGGAA
rnacentral:tRNA from 1 species